rnacentral:tRNA from 1 species
UUUACUGAAGAGACAUAACUCAUAGAAAUUUGAAUUCUAGACCAGGAUAAACAUUCCUCUGUAAAA